GUCUGCUUAGCUCAGUGGGAGAGCGACGGUCUGAAGUGUAGUGCUCAAUAAGCACUGUUGCAAGGAUACCGCAGGUCGGGUGUUCAAUCCACCCAGCGGACA